UUUUUUUAAUUUUGGGGGUACCAGGGAUUGAACUCAGGACCCUUGACCCCUGAGCCCCAUCCCCAGCCCUAUUUUGCAUUUUAUUUAGAGACAGGGUCUCCCUGAGUUGCUUAGGGCCUCGCUUUGGCGGAGGCUGGCUUUGAACUCGCGAUCCUCCUGCCUCAGCCUCCCGAGCCACUGGGAUGACAGGUGAGCCCCAGUGCGCCCUGCCCGUCUCUGUCUCUCCACGAAGCACCCGGGGUCUGUUCUGAUGUGGGAGGUGAUCGCCCAGCACCCGCCUGUGGCUUCCUGCACUUCCUGUCCCAUGGGGUAGCACCCAGUGAGCCCUGGGCAUGACCAGGGAGUCAGGAGGUUCUGCAGAGGGUCAUCACAUCAUAGGGAAGGGACGGGUAAUAGGGUCACGGGGACCCGGGUGACACCACGUCAGAGGGGGCGGGACUGUGGCAGCCACCGGCAGAGGAACUGGGAACCUUGAUCUCAGUCGGAGCUCAGGAGGACAGGGGGGACGUGACCCUGGGGAUUAUGCACCUCAGAGGACUGUGCGGAAGAGAACUGGGGCUGAUAUUCUCAGCCUUAGGUGCCAUUAGAGUCCUGUGCAUGGGGACUCUGCAAACCUGGACCCCAGCUUAAGAAGAAAAAAAAAAGUGUGUUGUGGGAGGGUUUUGGGGGGCAGCCUUUACUGAAAUGCUCUGGCAUAAUGUUAGCCUUCAGGUAGGGUUUGAUCCAGGAGCUCCUGCGAGUAUCAUUGGAAAGGCAGGUGGGACCCGAGAGUGUGCAUUUCUCUCAGGCUUCAAAGGGACACCUGUGCUCCUGGUCCUUUGUGAGCUUCUAGAACCCCUUUGGAGGCCCUGGUUUGGCUGGUGACGAUGGAUAAAGGACAGAGAUGGCCAUCUGGACGAUGCUGCUGGCCAGGCCCUGUGGGGCUGGUCAAGGGGGUCCACUUGGGGUGUGGUGCAUGACCUUGGGCUGCCGAGAGCAUCUCCUGAGGGUCCUGAGGACGUUCUUGGGUGCCCAUGGGCAGCAGUCGGUGGACACCUGCACCUGGGGGGCGGUGGUGAGGGACGGUGGAUCCCCAGGUUGUGAGGGGUCAGACUCUGGGUCUGCGCUGGAGCCCUUGCAGGAAGGAACGCACCCGCCCUGCUGUUCCUCCCCCAGGGCGCUCGGAACAGACGAGAGGAGAGGAUUUCUCUAACAUUCUUGGAGGCUGGAGGCUGGAGGCCCGAGGUCCAGGGUGGGCAGGACUUGUUCUCUGGGGUGGACAGCGGUGGUCUGGCCGUGGGCAGGGGGUUGGUCUUUCUAUUGCUUGGGCUAUGAGAGCCCAAGAGCAUCCAGUCUUAAAUCAGGGACCCCGGGGCAGGAGGCCGCCAAUUGCUCUGUCUCCGUCCCUGGUCACACAGGAGAUGUCCCCCCUGAAGACCAGCUGCCGGCAUCUUUAAUUAGACAACCUGCAGCUUCGUCCCGUCCACCGCUGUGGGCACUUUGACAGACACGGGAGGGUCCAGGGAGGGUCCCCCCCAUUGGUCUUCUGAAAGGCAACCUGUGUUCAAUGCGCUGUUCUCCUACGGAGGACGGAGGCCCCCGGGGAGGCCGGACUCCAGCCUGGCCUCCGCCCUUGUCCAAGGAGGUUAAUGCACGUAAACCAAGAACACGUGGUGACAAUAAGAGGCUCUGUGGUUGCUGCCCAGGAGGGGAAGGGCCGGCGCCCAGGAGCCACCCACGCGACCAGAAAUCAUGGCUUAGGUGUGGGUGCGCACACGUGGGUGUGCAAGGGGUUAUUUGACUUAAUUGACGCCUUGGAACCCAUCGGCCUCAGUGGAAAGGUAUUCCCGAGCUAAUGACCCCUCUCCCGAGCUCUUAGCGGCUGCUAGACAAGAAGAAGCUCUCAUAUUUUAUGACUGCUUCAAGGUAAAGUGCAGUCCCUUCAAGGAAUUUGAUCCUGGCUUUUCGGGGGACAUUGGACACAGAUAAAGGUCACAGAGAGGGGCUUGUGCACGGAUUUUUUUUUUUUUUGGUGGUGCUGGGGAUUGAACCCAGGACUUUGUGCAUGCCAGGCAAGCCCUCUGCCACCCGAGCUCUGUCCCCAGCCCUCAAGCACAGAUAUUCUUUAGCGUGUCAAUGGAUUUGUAAUAUGUGCAUGAGUUCUUUUUUUUUUUUUUCAUUGCUAUAACAAAAUACCCGAGGCUGGCUACUUAUAAGGAAAACAGGUUUCUUCUUUUUUUUUUUUCUUUUUUUUCCUAUAUUUAUUUCAAACUCACAUGAACCUAAUCCUGCUCAAUGACCUGCCACCUCCUGCUAGGCCACACCUCUUCAAAGUCUUGCUACCUACCUGUCUGCAACGCCACCCCAGGAGACCUAACACUUGACCCUUUGAUGAUUGGCCAUUAUGUCCCAGGCAGAGGUGAGGGUCACCCUGGAGGGUCCUGUGUCUUCCAAUAUUUCCUGGCAGAUGAUCAAUCAACCCAUCCUGCACACGCUGUUGAGAAGUCCCUAGUUCCCCAAGCGGUUUUCCUGUGCAUUUCAUGGGUGGAGACGCUUUCUCUGGUCUCUCUGAUGCUGGGUUGGACCAAGAUUGAAAUUUUAAUAUUUUUUGCUUCAUCAUUUGUGCCCCGCGUUGGUUUGCACGUGAGGUGUCCCCCAAAAACUCAUGUGGGAGACGGUGCAAGAAGGUUCAGAGGUGGAAUAUUGGGUUAUGAGAGGUGUAGACUCAUAGUGGAUUAAUCCACUUGAAUGGACUCACGGGGUGGUGACUGCAGGCAGCUGGGAUGUGGCUGGAGGAGGGGGUCCCUGGGCUGUGCCUUUGGGGUCUCUCUCCUGUCCCUGGUGAGCAGAGCUCUCUCUGCUCCCUGGUGCCCUGUCCUGAGCUGCUCUCCUCCUCCAGGCCCUGCCGCCAUCUUGUUCUGCCUCCCCUUGGGCCAGAGCCAUGGAGUCGGCCACCAGGGACUGGACCUCAGAAACCAUGAGCCCAGAUCAACUUCCCUCCCAUAACUCAUUCUCGUCCCAUCCUGCUCCGCACACGGGGACUCCACAGUCACCCAACCCUGGGAAUCCCAGGGGAUUCCAUGUUGGACCCUAAAUCCUGUUUGGGACCCGCAUCUUCCCAGAGAGCCCUGGUGCCCUCUGAGAAAUCCUCCCUCACUGACCCACCGGAAGGAAAUUGUGUCCCCAGAGUCCUGC
rnacentral:lncRNA from 1 species